GAUGAACGCUGGCGGCGUGCCUAAUACAUGCAAGUCGAGCGAACAGACGAGGAGCUUGCUCCUCUGACGUUAGCGGCGGACGGGUGAGUAACACGUGGAUAACCUACCUAUAAGACUGGGAUAACUUCGGGAAACCGGAGCUAAUACCGGAUAAUAUAUUGAACCGCAUGGUUCAAUAGUGAAAGACGGUUUUGCUGUCACUUAUAGAUGGAUCCGCGCCGCAUUAGCUAGUUGGUAAGGUAACGGCUUACCAAGGCAACGAUGCGUAGCCGACCUGAGAGGGUGAUCGGCCACACUGGAACUGAGACACGGUCCAGACUCCUACGGGAGGCAGCAGUAGGGAAUCUUCCGCAAUGGGCGAAAGCUUGACGGAGCAACGCCGCGUGAGUGAUGAAGGUCUUCGGAUCGUAAAACUCUGUUAUUAGGGAAGAACAAAUGUGUAAGUAACUAUGCACGUCUUGACGGUACCUAAUCAGAAAGCCCCGGCUAACUACGUG
rnacentral:rRNA from 1 species